GUUAAACGCAGCCUUAACAAGCUACAGUGGCCGUUCACCUCGUCUGGGAUCUGCUAAAACCCUAAACCCUCGCAGCCUCCCCGAAUCAUUCACGUAUUCUUCUUCCUCUUCUUCUUCAAUCCUUCGAUGGCUUCAGCAUGCAACAGAUUCGUCAGCAGAGCAUCCCUAUCUUCCGUAAAAUCCGCCAUUAGAUCUAAUGUCCGUACAUCUCCGUUCACCAAAUCCGCCACGUCCACUUCUCCGGGCGUCCCUCUCCCCUUUAGAUCCACUUCGAGUUCUCUUCCCCGAUUCUCAUUCUCCAGGUGUCCCGCGGAACUGGGAUGCGUGCAGUCAAUGUUGCCACUUCACAGCGCGGUGGCAGUGGCGAGAAUGAUGACGUGCCUGAGCACCACAUCUAGGAGUUCUCGAGCGCUCUCGCAGGAUGGAGUUGAUGGUACGUGAGCAUGUGUGCUGUAUUUGGAGGUGGGCCCUGCAUCUAUCCUCCUAUGUACUCAAAAUUUCAAAUUAAAUUUAAUGUGGAAAACUGCUUUAGAAGAUCGGGUCACAUGUUAUCUCGGUUUCAGAGGAAUUUGGGGGGCUAGAGCUUGGUCUGUCAGUUCCAAGGUGACUUUUUAUAGCAGUUCACUAAUGACGAGAUGUUAUCUACACAAGAACGGAAAAUCUUGCAGCAAAGAUCACAGUUUUGGUUUCUGAAGUUCAGUCAAUACUGCCUGAACCUUGCACGCAAGGAUACUGAUUUUGAUUCUUCCCACCAAAUAAAUAUUUGUUCAGUACCUAUUCAUUUAUGUUUAAUCAUCAAGCCUGUAUGUUCUCACAUUUUCUUCUCUGCCGGUUGAUUGCUUUGUACUCGCCAAUUUGAUGCAUUGCCUUUGCAGUCCCAAGGCUGCAUGGAGACAUUUGAUGUAGUCCCAACACGUGAACUUCGAUACUCGAUCACCAUGAUGAGAAGAGCUCAUCUUGAUAAGAAAGAACAUAUAAGCAAGAUGUUUUUGUUUUGUCUUACUAAAUAUUGCUUGAACUCUUGAGAGGCCAUAAAACUGGUUUGGUUCUUCCUAGCA